GACGAACGCUGGCGGCGUGCUUAACACAUGCAAGUCGAACGGAAAGGCCCUGCUUUUGUGGGGUGCUCGAGGGGCGAACGGGUGAGUAACACGUGAGUAACCUGCCCUUGACUUUGGGAGAACUUCAGGAAACUGGGGCUAAUACCGGAUAGGAUCUCCUGCUGCAGGGUGGGGGUGGGAAAGUUUCGGCGGUUGGGGAUGGACUCGCGGCUGAUCAGCUUGUUGGUGGGGUAGUGGCUUACCAAGGCUUUGACGGGUAGCAGGCCUGAGAGGGUGACCGGCCACAUUGGGACUGAGCUACGGCCCAGACUCCUACGGGAGGCAGCAGUGGGGAAUAUUGCACAAUGGGCGGAAGCCUGAUGCAGCAACGCCGCGUGCGGGAUGACGGCCUUCGGGUUGUAAACCGCUUUCGCCUGUGACGAAGCGUGAGUGACGGUAAUGGGUAGAGAAGCACCGGCUAACUACGUG
rnacentral:rRNA from 1 species